UACGUAGGGUGCAGGCGUUAAUCGGAAUUACUGGGCGUAAAGCGCGCGCAGGCGGUUUCUUAAGUCUGAUGUGAAAGCCCACGGCUCAACCGUGGAGGGUCAUUGGAAACUGGGAAACUUGAGUGCAGAAGAGAAAAGCGGAAUUCCACGUGUAGCGGUGAAAUGCGUAGAGAUGUGGAGGAACACCAGUGGCGAAGGCGGCUUUUUGGUCUGUAACUGACGCUGAGGCGCGAAAGCGUGGGGAGCAAACAGG
rnacentral:rRNA from 1 species